rnacentral:lncRNA from 1 species
GCCCGUUAUCUGCCCCCCCGGCUAUGUCCCGUUAUUACCAGCAGAAACUGGGAAGAUGCUGAGCCCAACAUCAGGAGAUGCAGAGCUCCGAUUAACCGAAUCCCAAAGCAGAACGGAAUUUUGGCUUAAGAGCAAGGAGAGGAAAACCGUGGGAUCACGGAGCGCUGACAACAGCCGGCCCAGACACACCUGACAGGUUGCAGCGAUGAAUAUCUCAUCCACUGUGACCGCCACCAACGGAACUAAUUUGCUUAUGGAAAAUUGCAGAUCAUCAGUUUCCUGCAGGGAUAUAAGCACCUCUGCAGGCGCUGCUGAUUAAGGGCAGGCGAGAGUGCAAAUGGGCCUGAAUCUCCCCGCGGACCCAGAUGAAGUGUUAACGUUGGACAUGUCAUCCCUGAAGGAGCAUCAGAUAAAGGUGGAACGCUGUGAGCUUCAAGACUCGGAGCAGACGUCUCUCACAUGGACAUGCGAUCCGUCCAGGCUGUUUCUGGCCUCUCACAACAAACUCUACAAGGCUCUGCAGAUGAGUGAGGCUAACAUGGCCGACCUGUGAUGACGGGAGGGACACCGAUCCGGAACGUGACUCUGCAGGAUUUGUCAUGCUCCUGCAGCAGAUUCCGGCUGACAAAGCCUUGACACCUGUCAUAAAAA